rnacentral:lncRNA from 1 species
AUCCGAACCAAACACACGCACACUGGAAUCCAAAUGCCACUCGAUGGACUUACAUCAGCUUCCAAGCACACAACAACACAACAAGUUGAUAGGGAGUCGGGGACUCGAGCCUAUAACUGUCAAGCACACACUCAAACAAACAGACAGCAAAUGCUAAGGAGUCACAGACUCAAGCCUAGCAAAGGUCAGACAACACACACAAAAGAAAGAAAAGGCGCCCGGAGAGAUCAGCUCAAUCUCCUGCCUACAUACUUCAUCUGGUAUGAAGAUCAGGGCGAUGUAGUUCCCCUACGCAGGGAUAAAGGACCUAGCCUAACCAGAUAACAGAGGGAGACACAACUAGGGAGACUACGACUCG